rnacentral:rRNA from 3 species
UACGUAGGGUGCGAGCGUUGUCCGGAAUUACUGGGCGUAAAGAGCUCGUAGGCGGCUUGUCGCGUUGUUCGUGAAAAUUUACCGCUCAACGGUGAACUUGCGGGCGAUACGGGCAGGCUAGAGUACUGCAGGGGAGACUGGAAUUCCUGGUGUAGCGGUGAAAUGCGCAGAUAUCAGGAGGAACACCGGUGGCGAAGGCGGGUCUCUGGGCAGUAACUGACGCUGAGGAGCGAAAGCGUGGGGAGCGAACAGG